rnacentral:misc_RNA from 1 species
UUUGCCAUUGAGCAUUACAUUUUUCUCAACAAAUAUUUUUUUCUACUUCUCGUUUUUUUGGUCCCUUCCGAAUUGUAACGCUUAUGUGUUUUAUGUUUGUGUGUUCCAUUUUUUUUUACCGGAGCCAUCUCUUAUGAAAACGUAUCUGUUUAAAUCAUUCGUAUGCGUUUAUAAACUGGCGGUUUAUUGAAUUAGUCUGGUCCAAACCAAAGGAGCAACCACGAAAAGCCGACCUUAGCACCUAAGCACCUUUUGUUCAGUCAAAUCAACAAGCAGUAUUUAUAGAUUGUCAAUUGUCACGUCAUCCCCUCUAUUGUUUGUCAGCGACGGCAGCCCAUGUGCGGUCGGUCGGGUCGCUUCUCCUCGUCGGUCGCACUUUUCUACUUCAACUUGCUUUUUAUGCGAAUGAACCAACAGUGUAAAGUCACGCUACGAGCGUGGUAGUAGUCAUCCGAUAAACACAAACCGGCAUAUCGGCACGGUUGCUCUACUUUAGACGUGGCAUAGCUGUCUCUGUGACAGAGAGUGACGUCCCACACUGGCCGAAGGUGUUAUUUGUUCUUCUAUACUCUUCCAGACCUCAGUGCUCGUAAUCCCGCCGAUCUCGAGAUCGAAAAACCCGGCCUGAUUUGACGCGCGGCCCCGUCUGCUAAUGAUGUUCAUGUUCAAUGAGCAGCGGGUGGGGAAGGGAUAAAGGGGGUGGUUAACUCUAUUGAUUUUUAGGGUGACACUACUGUCAACUCCCGCCGACUUUCGUGUUUCGCGGAGGAAAAAAAAUCUACACACGGGGAUACUUUUUUCAAAAUUAAGUUCAACUCUUCGAUGGCUAAUCUUGCGUUUACAAAUUUGCGAGAGUUUCCAGCACUUUUGGAAGUUUUCUUUCAUAAAUAUUUUGUGAUUGUGGUUGUGUUUUGAAUUUGAAAACCGGUGGUGGUAUGUGUCGUUCGUCGGGUGUUCACGGCUCGAAUAGCGCUGAUGUUCGUCUCAUCAGCAUUGUUCUGUGAAAAUGGCAGCAAUUGGAGGAUUUUCGCAGGAUCAUUUUUGCAGGAGACCUAAGAAGAAGUUCAGUUGACGCUUUUGCCAUUGCUCCCUUACUAGAAAAAGCUUACGGCAAAGCCGAACAAGGCCCUAGCCGUCGAGUAGCGCCUUCCAUCACGCUGCCAGUCACCCUGGAGGACCCUGCCACCAAUUGGAAGGGACCGCCGCCCGGCUCGGAACCCCAGAGUUUCGCUCAAGGGCCAGCCAACUCGUUUUCAGGGCCACCGGCUGGCUUCCAAGGACCCUCGCCUUUUCAAGGCCC